ACUCCUACGGGAGGCAGCAGUGGGGAAUAUUGGACAAUGGGCGAAAGCCUGAUCCAGCCAUGCCGCGUGUGUGAAGAAGGUCUUCGGAUUGUAAAGCACUUUAAGUUGGGAGGAAGGGCAGUAAAUUAAUACUUUGCUGUUUUGACGUUACCGACAGAAUAAGCACCGGCUAACUCUGUGCCAGCAGCCGCGGUAAUACAGA
rnacentral:rRNA from 1 species